rnacentral:rRNA from 1 species
AGGACGAACGCUGGCGGCGUGCUUAACACAUGCAAGUCGAGCGGUAAGGCCUCUUCGGGGUACACGAGCGGCGAACGGGUGAGUAACACGUGGGUGACCUGCCCUCAGCUCUGGGAUAAGCCUGGGAAACUGGGUCUAAUACUGGAUAUGACUGCGCAUCGCAUGGUGUGUGGUGGAAAGUUUUUUCGGCUGGGGAUGGGCCCGCGGCCUAUCAGCUUGUUGGUGGGGUGACGGCCUACCAAGGCGACGACGGGUA